GAUGAACGCUGGCGGCGUGCCUAAUACAUGCAAGUCGAGCGGACAGAUGGGAACUUGCUCCCGGAAGUCAGCGGCGGACGGGUGAGUAACACGUGGGCAACCUGCCUGUAAGACUGGGAUAACUUCGGGAAACCGGAGCUAAUACCGGAAACGUUCUUUUCUCGCAUGAGAGAAGAUGGAAAGAUGGUUUCGGCUACCACUUAAAGAUGGGCCCGCGGCGCAUUAGCUAGUUGGUGAGGUAAUGGCUCACCAAGGCGACGAUUCGUAGCCGACCUGAGAGGGUGAUCGGCCACACUGGGACUGAGACACGGCCCAGACUCCUACGGGAGGCAGCAGUAGGGAAUCUUCCGCAAUGGACGAAAGUCUGACGGAGCAACGCCGCGUGAACGAUGAAGGCCUUCGGGUCGUAAAGUUCUGUUGUUAGGGAAGAACAAGUACCAGAGUAACUGCUGGUACCUUGACGGUACCUAACCAGAAAGCCACGGCUAACUACGUGCCAGCCGCCGCAGUAA
rnacentral:rRNA from 1 species